rnacentral:rRNA from 1 species
AUGGAAUCUGAAAUACCCCAAGAUAACACACUAGAAGAUGCUUAUGCAGAACCUGUGGACUAUUCAGCUAGUCAAGAUUAUGUGGAAUCACUAGGCACAAAACUGGGGAUUCACAAGAAGGAGGAAGGAGACAAGGAUAAAGACAAGGAUGGACCCACUAGAAGAAGUGAUAGAAACCUGGACAAAAAAGAUGCUAAAAUAGAAGAUCUGGCCAAGGAAAGGGUAGCUGACAAGAACAAUUAUGAAAAGGUACCUAGGGGAAAGAAUGUUGAUGCUGGGAGCAAACCUCAUCGUGCAAGUAGCAAGUGA